rnacentral:rRNA from 1 species
AGAGUUUGAUCCUGGCUCAGGACGAACGCUGGCGGCGUGCCUAAUACAUGCAAGUAGAACGCUGAAGAGAGGAGCUUGCUCUUCUUGGAUGAGUUGCGAACGGGUGAGUAACGCGUAGGUAACCUGCCUUGUAGCGGGGGAUAACUAUUGGAAACGAUAGCUAAUACCGCAUAACAAUGGAUGACUCAUGUCAUUUAUUUGAAAGGGGCAAAUGCUCCACUACAAGAUGGACCUGCGUUGUAUUAGCUAGUAGGUGAGGUAACGGCUCACCUAGGCGACGAUACAUAGCCGACCUGAGAGGGUGAUCGGCCACACUGGGACUGAGACACGGCCCAGACUCCUACGGGAGGCAGCAGUAGGGAAUCUUCGGCAAUGGGGGCAACCCUGACCGAGCAACGCCGCGUGAGUGAAGAAGGUUUUCGGAUCGUAAAGCUCUGUUGUAAGUCAAGAACGAGUGUGAGAGUGGAAAGUUCACACUGUGACGGUAGCUUACCAGAAAGGGACGGCUAACUACGUGCCAGCAGCCGCGGUAAUACGUAGGUCCCGAGCGUUGUCCGGAUUUAUUGGGCGUAAAGCGAGCGCAGGCGGUUUGAUAAGUCUGAAGUUAAAGGCUGUGGCUCAACCAUAGUUCGCUUUGGAAACUGUCAAACUUGAGUGCAGAAGGGGAGAGUGGAAUUCCAUGUGUAGCGGUGAAAUGCGUAGAUAUAUGGAGGAACACCGGUGGCGAAAGCGGCUCUCUGGUCUGUAACUGACGCUGAGGCUCGAAAGCGUGGGGAGCGAACAGGAUUAGAUACCCUGGUAGUCCACGCCGUAAACGAUGAGUGCUAGGUGUUGGAUCCUUUCCGGGAUUCAGUGCCGCAGCUAACGCAUUAAGCACUCCGCCUGGGGAGUACGACCGCAAGGUUGAAACUCAAAGGAAUUGACGGGGGCCCGCACAAGCGGUGGAGCAUGUGGUUUAA